rnacentral:rRNA from 1 species
CCUUUUGUAUAAUGGGUCAGCGACUUAUAUUCUGUAGCAAGGUUAACCGAAUAGGGGAGCCGAAGGGAAACCGAGUCUUAACUGGGCGUUAAGUUGCAGGGUAUAGACCCGAAACCCGGUGAUCUAGCCAUGGGCAGGUUGAAGGUUGGGUAACACUAACUGGAGGACCGAACCGACUAAUGUUGAAAAAUUAGCGGAUGACUUGUGGCUGGGGGUGAAAGGCCAAUCAAACCGGGAGAUAGCUGGUUCUCCCCGAAAGCUAUUUAGGUAGCGCCUCGUGAAUUCAUCUCCGGGGGUAGAGCACUGUUUCGGCAAGGGGGUCAUCCCGACUUACCAACCCGAUGCAAACUGCGAAUACCGGAGAAUGUUAUCACGGGAGACACACGGCGGGUGCUAACGUCCGUCGUGAAGAGGGAAACAACCCAGACCGCCAGCUAAGGUCCCAAAGUCAUGGUUAAGUGGGAAACGAUGUGGGAAGGCCCAGACAGCCAGGAUGUUGGCUUAGAAGCAGCCAUCAUUUAAAGAAAGCGUAAUAGCUCACUGGUCGAGUCGGCCUGCGCGGAAGAUGUAACGGGGCUAAACCAUGCACCGAAGCUGCGGCAGCGACGCUGAUGCGUUGUUGGGUAGGGGAGCGUUCUGUAAGCCUGCGAAGGUGUGCUGUGAGG